GUUCGACGCCCCUCAUAUCUCAUCUCUGCUCUCCCUUCGCAUUUGACGCCUCCAUUUGUUCUCUCUGCCUUGCUCGCACUUCGUACCAAAAACACUGAUCUGCUACCAAAAACCAGAAAUGGAGUUAUACAUUGGCAAGUCAUUGGAAGUCGCAGCCUUCAAAGGUGGGGAGUCCAUAGCAGGAGGCAAAAGGUUGACCAAG